GGCGAACGGGUGAGGAACACGUGAGGAAUCUACCUUCAACUCUGGGAUAACUCCGGGAAACCGGGGCUAAUACCGGAUAUGAGACUGGGCGGCAUCGCCUAGUCUGGAAAGUUUUUCGGUUGAAGAUGACCUCGCGGCCUAUCAGCUUGUUGGUGAGGUAAUGGCUCACCAAGGCGACGACGGGUAGCCGGCCUGAGAGGGCGACCGGCCACACUGGGACUGAGACACGGCCCAGACUCCUACGGGAGGCAGCAGUGGGGAAUAUUGGGCAAUGGAGGAAACUCUGACCCAGCGACGCCGCGUGCGGGAUGAAGGCCUUCGGGUUGUAAACCGCUUUCAGUAGGGAAGAAGCGAAAGUGACGGUACCUACAGAAGAAGCACCGGCUAACUAUGUGCCAGCAGCCGCGGUAAUACAUAGGGUGCAAGCGUUGUCCGGAAUUAUUGGGCGUAAAGAGCUCGUAGGUGGUUUGUUACGUCGGAUGUGAAACUCUGGGGCUCAACCCCAGACCUGCAUUCGAUACGGGCAAGCUAGAGUUUGGUAGGGGAGACUGGAAUUCCUGGUGUAGCGGUGGAAUGCGCAGAUAUCAGGAGGAACACCGAUGGCGAAGGCAGGUCUCUGGGCCAAUACUGACACUGAGGAGCGAAAGCGUGGGGAGCGAACAGGAUUAGAUACCCUGGUAGUCCACGCCGUAAACGGUGGGCGCUAGUUGUGCGAACCUUCCACGGUUUGUGCGACGCAGCUAACGCAUUAAGCGCCCC
rnacentral:rRNA from 1 species